rnacentral:lncRNA from 1 species
CGAGGGCGGAGGCAGAAAGAGAAGCAGCAGAGGAAGAAGAAGCAGCAGAGGAGUUAAAGAAAAAAAAAAGAAGAGAGAGAGAGAGAGGCAGAGAGAGAAACAGCAGAGGAAGAAGAAGGAGAAGAAGUGUUAAAAAAAGGGGUGGAAAAUGGUGUAAUGCGUGCAAAAUGGAAUAAUAGUGUAAUGGUGCAAAAUUGUAAUCGUGUAAUGGUGUAAUGGUGCACAAAUAGUGUAAUUGUGUAAUGGUGUAAUAGUGUAAAUGGUGUAAUGGUGUAAUGGUGCAACAUUAUAAUGGUGUAAUGGUGUAAUGGUGUAAAAUAGUGUAAUGGUGUAAUGGUCCAGAUUGCACCAUUAGGGCCAGAUUGCAUCAUUUAAAAAAAUUUUGCACUAUUUUUUUUUCCCUCUUUCUCUUCUUUUUCUUCUUCUUCUUCUAGAUUGCACUAUUAGCUUUUUUUUUUUUCCUCUUUCUCUUCUUCUUCUUUUUCUUCUUCUUCGACGGAGGCGUCGGAUCG